rnacentral:lncRNA from 1 species
AGAUCAGCAAAGGGGACAUGCUCCAAGGUAAGGAACUGAUCUAGGGCCUAGGAAAAAAGAAGUUUAAAUCAAAAUUUGACUGCUCAGCUAUGAAGUAAGGCUGUGGAACAAAGGGUCAAAUGCAGCUUUGACCCUUCAUUCCCCUCCACCCUCCAAGAGAUCAGAUCCCGUCAGCACUGAGCCUAUUUCCCAUAAGAAGCAAGGAGCAGAAUUGUGCUUGAUAAGAAGCAGUGUGGACAACUCUAAAGGACACUGGAAGGGAAGAGGAAGGAAGUACAUUGGUUCUUCAGGAGGCGGGGGAUGCAAUGGACAGGAGAAGUAGCAGUGACAUGGUACCCUCUUGACUCUUGCAAACAAAAUCUACCCUGGUUACCACAAAUGCUUUUCUCCAUGCCUUUGCUUUUGAAAGUAUUAGCUACAAGGAUGAGUCUGGGAUCCCAAGUGGACACUGUGGUGAAAAGCAUGGCUGCUUCUGGAAAGAACUCAGAUGAAGAGAAGGAGGGUACAUUCCACGGGACUGAACAGAUUCAUGACAAAAGAACAUUCUAUUUGGUCAAAUUUGAAUUUCAAGAGAUGGCCAACUUUUAA